GAUGAAGAACGUAGCGAAAUGCGAUACUUGGUGUGAAUUGCAGAAUCCCGUGAACCAUCGAGUCUUUGAACGCAAGUUGCGCCCGAAGCCAUUAGGCCGAGGGCACGCCUGCCUGGGUGUCACACGUCGUUGCCCCCCCAUCUACUCCUUCGGGAUUGCGGGGGGCGGAUGUUGGCCUCCCGUGCGCCUCGUCGCGCGGUUGGCAUAAAUGCCAAGUCCUCGGCGACGCACGCCACGACAAUCGGUGGUUGCGAAACCUCGGUUGCCCGUCGUGUGCGGUCGUCGCGCAUCGAGGGCUCGAAAAAAUUGCCGGGCUCCGGCUCGGCUUUCAACGCGACCCCAGGUCAGGCGGGGUUACCCGCUGAAUUUAAGCAUAUCAAUAAGCGGAGGA
rnacentral:misc_RNA from 1 species